GAGUUUGAUCAUGGCUCAGGACGAACGCUGGCGGCGUGCUUAACACAUGCAAGUCGAACGGAAAGGCCCUGCUUUGUGGGGUGCUCGAGUGGCGAACGGGUGAGUAACACGUGAGUAACCUGCCCUCGACUUUGGGAUAACUUCAGGAAACUGGGGCUAAUACCGGAUAGGAGCUCCUGCUGCAUGGUGGGGUUGGAAAGUUUCGGCGGUUGGGGAUGGACUCGCGGCUUAUCAGCUUGUUGGUGGGGUAGUGGCUUACCAAGGCUUUGACGGGUAGCCGGCCUGAGAGGGUGACCGGCCACAUUGGGACUGAGAUGCGGCCCAGACUCCUACGGGAGGCAGCAGUGGGGAAUAUUGCACAAUGGCGGAAGCCUGAUGCAGCAACGCCGCGUGCGGGAUGACGGCCUCGGUUG
rnacentral:rRNA from 1 species